GGAGCCCGGAGCCCCUGGCGCCCGCGUCAGAUGCCGGCCGGCGAGCGCGCGGAAGGAGAGACCUGGAGCGGCGCGGGCGCGUCCUCAGCUCUGCGAGCCCCCUCUCGAGCGGCGGGGAGUACACUGGGAACCCCAGUCCCUGGAAAUGGACCCGGAUUCUCUGGAGCUAAGGGCCCUUGGCAAAGGGAGCCUGUGCCUUGAGCACGUCUGGACACAAAGGAUGAGGGUUCAUUCUGGUUCUUAACUGCGGUCACCAUGCUGUACGUCAGACCUCUGGACUUAAGCACCCUGCAAAACUGCAAUGUUUUCAUGUUUGACCAGCAUCUCCCCACUGUUCCCAUCACCGGCCCCUGGUAACCACUGUUGGUUCGUUCUCCUUUCUGCUUCUAUGAACUUGAUUUUGUUAGAUUUCACAUAUAAGUGAGAUCAUGCGGGUUUUUUUUUUCUUUCUGUGUCUGGCUUAUUUCUUGUAGCUUAAUGUCCUCCAAGGUCAUACCUGGGGUUGCGAAUGGCAGGGUCCUUCUUUGGGGAGCUGAACGAUAUCCCUGUGCGUGUAUGUAUACAGGUGUGUGUGUAAAUUUCUCUAUCCAUUCACCUGUCAGUGGACACUACGUUUCCGUAUUGCCAUGCUUCCUGAUAUCAAAUAAGAUCAAAGGACAAAAAUAAAGAAUUAGAAAUUUGGAAAAAAUAGGGGCGCCUGGGAGGCUCAGUGGGUUAAACCUCUGCCUUCAGCUCAGGUCCUGAUCCCAGGGUCCCAGGAUCGAGUCCCGCAACGGGCUCUCUGCUCAACAGGGAGCCUGCUUCCUCCUCUCUCUCCCUGUCUGCUUCUCUGCCUACUUGUGAUCUCUGUCUGUCCAAUAGAUAAAUAAAAUCUUUAAAAAAGAAAGAAAUUUGGAAAAAAUAGAUUUUCUGCCGAUCGUUAUAAUGUGUUCCAUAAUUGGGGGUACCUGGCUGGCUCAGUCAGCAAAGCAUGCAACUCUUGACCUUGGGAUUGUAAGUUUGAGCCCCACAUUGGCUGUAGAAAUGACUUAAAAAUAAAACCUUUAAAAAAUGCGUUCCGUAACUUGAAACUCUUACCAACAAGGUAGUGUAUGCGUAUCUCGAUGCUGCGCAUUUGUAAAAAGUUAUCAGUUUACAGGAUGAUGAAACAUUUUGAAUUUUGAAUAAAUUGGAAUGGGAUGGAAUUGUGAAUUUGACCGGAAUGUAUUUUCCAACAACAAAAAUCCAUGCAUAAAAAAUUCAUGGGUCCAGAAUCCAUUUUUUCAUUGGAAGAUUAUUUAAAUGUACCUGUAAUUUUUCAGGAUAAUUGUUGAAACUGGCUGUUGAAGAAGAACUGACGAUGAAUAUUUUAAAGCUUCGUCAUUUAUCUUGCUUUAGAUGGAAGUUAAAUAAAUAUCCUGAGCUUGACGAGACUUUGCAAAAAUCUCUGUCCAUCCCUCUACUUU